GAUGAAGAACGUAGUGAAAUGCGAUAAGUAAUGUGAAUUGCAGAAUUCAGUGAACCAUCGAAUUUUUGAACGCACAUUGCGCCCGGCAGUAAUCUGCCGGGCAUGCCUGUCCGAGCGUCAUUUCUGCCCUCGAGCGAGUCCAGCAUCUAGGUGCUGGGCCCGCCCGGCGUUGGGGCACUACGGGAAGCCCUGUGCUGUCCCCCGUAGGCCCCGAAAUGAAGUGGCGGUCCUGCCGCGGCGCCCCCUGCGUAGUAUAACAGCUCGCUUCGGGACCCGGUGGAGGCCUGCCGUCAAACCUUACUCUCUAAGUUUGACCUCGGAUCAGGUAGGGUUACCCGCUGAACUUAAGCAUAUCAAUAAGCGGAGGA
rnacentral:misc_RNA from 1 species